rnacentral:rRNA from 1 species
AGAUUGAACGCUGGCGGCAUGCCUUACACAUGCAAGUCGAACGGCAGCGCGGGAGCAAUCCUGGCGGCGAGUGGCGAACGGGUGAGUAAUACAUCGGAACGUGCCCAAUCGUGGGGGAUAACGCAGCGAAAGCUGUGCUAAUACCGCAUACGAUCUACGGAUGAAAGCAGGGGAUCGCAAGACCUUGCGCGAAUGGAGCGGCCGAUGGCAGAUUAGGUAGUUGGUGAGGUAAAGGCUCACCAAGCCUUCGAUCUGUAGCUGGUCUGAGAGGACGACCAGCCACACUGGGACUGAGACACGGCCCAGACUCCUACGGGAGGCAGCAGUGGGGAAUUUUGGACAAUGGGCGAAAGCCUGAUCCAGCCAUGCCGCGUGCAGGAUGAAGGCCUUCGGGUUGUAAACUGCUUUUGUACGGAACGAAACGGUCUUUUCUAAUACAGAAGGCUAAUGACGGUACCGUAAGAAUAAGCACCGGCUAACUACGUGCCAGCAGCCGCGGUAAUACGUAGGGUGCAAGCGUUAAUCGGAAUUACUGGGCGUAAAGCGUGCGCAGGCGGUUAUGUAAGACAGUUGUGAAAUCCCCGGGCUCAACCUGGGAACUGCAUCUGUGACUGCAUAGCUAGAGUACGGUAGAGGGGGGAUGGAAUUCCGCGUGUAGCAGUGAAAUGCGUAGAUAUGCGGAGGAACACCGAUGGCGAAGGCAAUCCCCUAGACCUGUACUGACGCUCAUGCACGAAAGCGUGGGGAGCAAACAGGAUUAGAUACCCUGGUAGUCCACGCCCUAAACGAUGUCAACUGGUUGUUGGGUCUUCACUGACUCAGUAACGAAGCUAACGCGUGAAGUUGACCGCCUGGGG